rnacentral:rRNA from 1 species
CCUACGUGAGGCAGCAGUGAGGAAUAUUGGUCAAUGGGCUUACGCCUGAACCAGCCAAGUCGCGUGAGGGAAGACUGCCCUAUGGGUUGUAAACCUCUUUUGUCAGGGAGCAACGCCGGCUACGUAUAGCCGGACUGAGAGUACCUGAAGAAAAAGCAUCGGCUAACUCCGUGCCAGCAGCCGCGGUAAUACGGAGGAUGCGAGCGUUAUCCGGAUUUAUUGGGUUUAAAGGGUGCGUAGGCGGAAUGCCAAGUCAGCGGUAAAAUCGCGGGGCUCAACCUCGCUCCGCCGUUGAAACUGGCGUUCUUGAGUGGGUGAGAAGUAUGCGGAAUGCGUGGUGUAGCGGGGAAAUGCAUAGAUAUCACGCAGAACUCCGAUUGCGAAGGCAGCAUACCGGCGCCCAACUGACGCUGAAGCACGAAAGCGUGGGUAUCGAACAGGAUUAGAUACCCUAGUAGUC